rnacentral:sRNA from 1 species
AAAAGCCUUCCUGAAAAGAGCAGUGUGGCAUUGUUUCUUGGAUAUCCCAGGAGCAGCACUUCAUUGGUUUUUGCUUAUAGAAACUGUCCACCUGUUUAGUUUUCAAUGUCAUUCCAAUGUCAUUGAAAGCUAAACAGUUGGAGAAUUUCUAUGACCAAAAAAAAAAAAGUUUUUAUUUUCUUAUGAUAAAGUAAAAUCAAAGUAAGUAAAUGAAUAGGGAAUUAGUAAAAAAAGAAACCUUGGGGUUUGAAACAAAAAAUUGUUUUGCACAUUUAUGUCCAAAUAUAUAAACAAAAAAUUUUAAAAUGUUAUGGGUAUAUCUUUAAGAUUGUGCCAACUUGGAAGUCAGUCUGUUUAUUAAAGUGACAAAAGCUUAAAUUAUUGAUUUCUUCAUUUUAUCUUUUAGAGUUAUGCCCAGCCAAGUCUUCAGUAUAUCCAGGGGCAACAGAUUUUCACAGCUCAUCCACAAGGAGUGGUGGUACAGCCAGCCGCAGCAGUGACUACAAUAGUUGCACCAGGGCAGCCUCAGCCCUUGCAGCCAUCUGAAAUGGUUGUGACAAAUAAUCUCUUGGAUCUGCCGCCCCCCUCUCCUCCCAAACCAAAAACCAUUGUCUUACCUCCCAACUGGAAGACAGCUCGAGAUCCAGAAGGGAAGAUUUAUUACUACCAUGUGAUCACAAGGCAGACUCAGUGGGAUCCUCCUACUUGGGAAAGCCCAGGAGAUGAUGCCAGCCUUGAGCAUGAAGCUGAGAUGGACCUGGGAACUCCAACAUAUGAUGAAAACCCCAUGAAGG